rnacentral:rRNA from 1 species
CCUACGGGUGGCAGCAGUGGGGAAUAUUGGACAAUGGGCGAAAGCCUGAUCCAGCCAUGCCGCGUGUGUGAAGAAGGCCUUCGGGUUGUAAAGCACUUUCAGUGGGGAAGAAAGCCUUGGGGCUAAUACCCUCGAGGAAGGACAUCACCCACAGAAGAAGCACCGGCUAACUCCGUGCCAGCAGCCGCGGUAAUACGGAGGGUGCGAGCGUUAAUCGGAAUUACUGGGCGUAAAGCGCGCGUAGGCGGUCUGAUAAGCCGGUUGUGAAAGCCCCGGGCUCAACCUGGGAACGGCAUCCGGAACUGUCAGGCUAGAGUGCAGGAGAGGAAGGUAGAAUUCCCGGUGUAGCGGUGAAAUGCGUAGAGAUCGGGAGGAAUACCAGUGGCGAAGGCGGCCUUCUGGACUGACACUGACACUGAGGUGCGAAAGCGUGGGUAGCAAACAGGAUUAGAUACCCUUGUAGUC